rnacentral:lncRNA from 1 species
GGUAAUCUCCAUCCUAGGGUAAUGGGGGGGUUCAUGGGGGUCUAUUCUAUAUGGGGUGGUUAUGGGGGGUUCAUGGGGGGUCCCAUCCCAUAAUGGGGGGGGUCAGGGGGUCCCAUCCUAUAUGGGAGGUUAUGGGGGGGGCUCAUGGGGGUCCCAUCCCAUAAUGGGGGGGGAUCAAGGGGUCCCAUCCUAUAUGGGGGGGUCCCAUCCUAUAAGGGGAGGGGGAGGUUCAGAGGGUCCCAUCCUAUAUGGGGUGGUUAUGGGGGGUCUCAUCCCAUAAUGGGGGGGUUCAUGGGGGUCCCAUCCAAUAUGGGAGAGUUAUGGGGGGCUCAUGGGGGUCCCAUCCCAUAAUAUGGGGGGGGGUCAGAAGGGUCCCACACCAUCAUCCUUCAUCCAUUCAUUCUCUUUAUUAUGGGGGGCAGAUCGUUGGGGGGCCCCCAGUGCCCCCCGGAUCUAUGGGGCGAGCUUCAUUGGGGGGGGGGGCUUUGUGUCCCCCCUCAUUUGGGUAUUAAUUAAUGAGGGUCAUUAAUGAGGGUCAUUAGGGUAAUUAAAGGGGGAGGGGGGGGGUCUCAGCGCUGCCCCCCCCCAAUUGUGAACUGUGGGUCACAGCUCAAUGGUGUCACUGGGGGGGCACCAACCCCCCCCCCGCAAUGGGGCAGCAAUGGGGGCGGGGGGAGAUGCAGCUCCUCGUGCAAUGAUUGUGCAAGAGCCUGGUGCAAAGCUUGCACGGGGCCCCAGUGCACUGCAUGCAUCCAGCUCUGCUGCAGUGCUUGUGCAAGAGCCUGGUGUAAAGCUUGCACUGGGCCCUCCAGCACCAUUUCCAUCCAGCUCUGCUGCAAUGCUUGUGCAAAACCCUGGUGCAAGGUUUGCACGAGGCCCUCCAGCACCAUUUGCAACCAGCUCUGCUGCAACACUUGUGCAAGAGCCCGGUGCAAAGCUUGCACGAGGCCUUGAUGCACUGUUUCCAUCCAGCUCUGGUGCAACACUUGUGCAAGAGCCUGGUGCAAAGCUUGCACGGGGCCAUCCAGCACCAUUUCCACCCAGCUCUGCUGCAUCACUUGUGCAAGACCCUUGUGCAAGGUUUGCACGGGGCCCUCCUGCACCAUUUGCAUCCAGCUCUGGUGCAACACUUGUGCAAGAGCCUCGUGCAAAGCUUCCUCCUGCAUCCAGCUCUGGUGCAACACUUGUGCAAAUCCCUGGUGCAAGGCUGCUGCUAGAACCCUUUGCAACCAUUGCACGCCCACGUGAUGCACUGCUCACACCCGGCCCUCGUGCAAAAUUUGCACGACUGGCCUGUGCCUCCCACGAUGCAUCCCGUGGUGCAACUGUUGCACCAACAGCCCUUGCACCAACCUGUGAUGGUGCAACGGUUGCACCAGCCCGUGGUGCACAAUUUGCACCAGAGCCACGUGCAUGCUUUGCACCGACCUCCAUUGCAUCCCUUGCACCAACAGCCCCUGCACCAUCCCUUGCACCAGAGCCACGUGCGUCGUUUGCACUGAGCACAGAUGCACCAUUGGCUGCACCGGGCCCACGUGCGUAUCUUGCACCGAUCCCACGUGCAUCCCUUGCACCAACAGCCCCUGCAUCCCUUGCACCAAUCUCACGUGCAUCAUUUGCACCAAUCUCACGUGCACCAUCCCUUGCACCAACCCCAUGCGCACCCUUUGCACCAGCCCCACGUGCAUCAUUUGCACUGAUCCCUGGUGCAUCCCUUGCACCGACCCCCACUGCAUCUCUUGCACCAAUCCCGUGUGCAUCACUUGCACCAACCCCAGCUGCAACCUCUGCACCAGACCCACGUGCAUUGUUUGCACCAACACCCCCUGCAUCCCUUGCACCAACCUCAUUUGCACCAUCCCUUGCACCAAUCUCACGUGCAUCAUUUGCACGGAUCCCUGGUGCAUCCCUUGCACCGACUCCCACUGCAUCUCUUGCACCAAUCCCGUGUGCAUCCCUUGCACCAACCCCAGUUGCACCAACCCCAUUUGCAUCCCUUGCAGCACCCCCACAUGCAUCCCUUGCACCAAUCCCUUCUGCAUCUCUUGCACCAGACCCACAUGCAUCCCUUGCACCAACCCCACGUGCAUCCCUUGCACCAAUCCCGGCUGCACCAUCCCUUGCACCAGACCCACAUGCAUCCCUUGCAGCACCCCCAUUUGCAUCCCUUGCACUGCCCUCCAGUGCAUCCUUUGCACCAAGCGCAUCCUUUGCACCAGUCCCAGCUGCACCAUCCUUUGCACCAGACCCACAUGCAUCACCCCCACUGCCCUCCAAUGCAUCCCUUGCACCAGGCCCAGUACCUCCAUCCCUUGCAUCACCUCCCAUUGCAUCCCUUGCAGCAGUCCCAGCUGCAUCCCUUGCACCAGGCCCAGUACCUCCAUCCCUUGCACCACCCCAAUCUGCAUCACCCCCACUACCCUGCAAUGCAUCCCUUGCACCAACUCCAGCUGCACCCCUUGCACCAGACCCACAUGCAUCAUUUGCACCAGGCCCAGCUGCACCAUCCCUUGCACCAGGCCCAUGUGCAUCACUUGCACCACCCCUCAAUGCAUCCCUUGCACCAGCCCCACAUGCAUCACCUCCACUGCCCUCCAAUGCAUCCCUUGCACCAAUCCCAGCUGCAUCCCUUGCACCAGACCCACAUGCAUCCCUUGCAGCACCCCCAUUUGCAUCCCUUGCACUGCCCCCCACUGCAUCCUUUGCACCAAGUGCAUCCAUUGCACCAACCCCAGCUGCCCCAUCCUUUGCACCAGACCCACAUGCAUCCCUUGCACCACCCCCCAAUGCAUCCCUUGCACCAGUCCCAGUACCUCCAUCCCUUGCACCAAUCCCACUUGCACCAGCCCCACAUGCAUCACCUCCACUGCCCCUCAAUGCAUCCCUUGCACCAAUCCCAGCUGCAUCCCUUGCACCACCCCCAUCUGCAUCCCUUGCACCAGCCCCACAUGCAUCACUUCCACUGCCCCUCAGUGCAUCCUUUGCACCAAGUGCAUCCCUUGCACCAGGCCCAGUACCUCCAUCCCUUGCACCACCUCCCAUUGCAUCCCUUGCACCACUCCCAGCUGCAUCCCUUGCACCAGCCCCACGUGCAUCACUUCCACUGCCCCUCAAUGCAUCCCUUGCACCAACUCCAGCUGCACCCCUUGCACCAGACCCACAUGCAUCAUUUGCACCAGGCCCAGCUGCCCCAUCCCUUGCACCAGACCCAUGUGCAUCACUUCCACUGCCCCCCAAUGCAUCCCUUGCACCAAGUGCAUCCCUUGCACCAACCCCAGUUGCAUCCCUUGCAACAGCCCCACAUGCAUCACCCCCACUGCCCUCCAAUGCAUCCCUUGCACCAGCCCCAUCUGCAUCCCUUGCAGCAGACCCUCGUGCACCCAUUGCCCGCAAUGGCAGCCACCCCCCUCACCCCUCAGCCCCCAUUUCCCCCACUACCCGCCCCCCCCCUCAGCGCCUCCUCGAUGCUCCUGCUCAGAUCCACGGGUGAUGGGGGCAGUAUCCAGUCCGUGGGGGUCUCCCCGAUCCCCCCCCCUUCCUCCCCUCCAAUCCUCACCCCCCCAUGCCCUCCCCCUUCCCCCCCAUUUCCACCCCGC